UUACGGUCAAAUCUCGCUGAAUACACCGGUUCUCGUACGAUCAACGAAGUUAAGCAGCGUAGAGCCAGGUCAGUACUUAUAUGGGGGACUGGCUGAAGAACACCUGGUACUGUAAG